UAGCCAUUUAUUUCAAACAUUCCAUAACAUCCUCAACCAAUUAAUAUAAUCAAUAUAUUAAAGGCUAUUUAUAUCACCAAAUCACCCCAAAAUCACACCAAGGUCCGGCUAUUCCCAUCCAAAAAGAGCCUAUCAUAUUCUCUACCUUUUCCACCAUUUUCCCUUUUUAAUUACCCUAAUUAACUAGCCAAUUAAUUCCAAAAACCACCAAAACAUUCAUUUUAUGUUUAAAUAGCCAAAUAAAUUGACUACUUAAACCUAAAUUAAACCUAAAAACCCUAGCCACCUCCUAACUCUAUAAAUAGGCACCUAUUCUCAUCAAAGAAUCAAUUCCAACACUUUGGCAAAAAUCCCAAAAUUCUCUAAACACUCUUUCUCUCUAAAUUCUAACUUUGGCAUCGGAGGUUCUUCGGCCAAAGCCCCCCCCAUUCAUCGUGGGCGCGUGAGGCUCUUGGCCUUAACCUAAGGUGUUAAUUGUUUUGUAGGUGCAAAAUCGUCCAAGAUCGAGGAGGAAGAAAUUUGCAUCCACAAAUUGGUGCUUUCAUUGAGAGUUGAAAUCCAUACUCGUAGAAAACUCUCGCACAAAAAGGUUUUUUCUUUAUUUUCUAGUCCAUUUGAAUAUUUUUCAUACGUUCUUAUUAUUAGAAUUUUUUACUUGCAAAGGUUCUUUGAUAAAACGUAUAAGCAAAAUAUAAUGGCUAGAAAUUUAGAAAAUUCCAUAAGUGAAAAGUCUAAUGUUCAAGAAAUAGGAUUGCGGAGAUCCGUGAGGCUAAAUGCGACAAUAAGGGGAGCGGCAUCAUCAUCACGAGCUUCCACCAUGGGAACCACCGUGGUGGCUACCUCGGUAGCCACCCGCGGCGAGGUCCAUGGUGCCUUCACCACGGCCACCAUGGGAACCACCGCGGUGGCUACUUCGGUAGCCACUCGUGGCGAGGUCCAUGGAGCCUUCACCACGGCCCAGAGAUCCGUGAGGCAAAAUGCAACAAUAAGGGGAGCGGCAUCACCACCACGAGUUUCCACCAUGGGAACCACCGCUGUGGCUACCUCGGUAGCCACCCACGGCGAGGUCCAUGGUGCCUUCACCACGGCCACCAUGGGAACCACCGCGGUGGCUACUUCUGUAGCCAUUCGUGGCGAGGUCCAUGGAGCCUUCACCACGGCCCGAGCCGUGCCAUCCAAGGCUCACGGUACCAAGACCACGAUCCAAGCCGUGCCAUCCAAGUUUACGUGGACCCAAGCCCAAGCCUCGCAUUCACAUGCACCGCGCAUUGAGCAGCCUGUUUCCGUGAUCCAGCCUGCUCCCGUCAAGCAACCCACUCUCACGGCCCAACCUGCUCCUGCCGAGCAGCCUGCUCUCGUGACCCAGCCUGCUCCCGACGAGCAGCCCACUCCCGUGGCCCAGCAUGCUUUCGUCGAGCAGCCCACUCCGGUGGCGCAGCCGGCUCCUGCUAAGCAGCCCACUCCCGUGGCCCAGCCUGCUCCUGCCAAGCAGCCUGCUCUCGUGACCCAGCCUGCUCCCGACGAGCAACCCACUCUCACGGCCCAACCUGCUCCUGCCGAGCAGCCUGCUCUCGUGACCCAGCCUGCUCCCGACGAGCAACCCACUCUCACGGCCCAACCUGCUCCUGCCGAGCAGCCUGCUCUCGUGACCCAGCCUGCUCCCGACGAGCAGCCCACUCCCGUGGCCCAGCCUGCUUUCGUCGAGCAGCCCACUCCGGUGGCGCAGCCGGCUCCUGCCAAGCAGCCCACUCCCGUGGCCCAGCCUGCUCCUGCCAAGCAGCCUGCUCUCGUGACCCAGCCUGCUCCCGACGAGCAACCCACUUUCACGGCCCAACCUGCUCCUGCCGAGCAGCCUGCUCUCGUGACCCAGCCUGCUCCCGACGAGCAGCCCACUUCCGUGGCCCAGCCUACUUUCGUCGAGCAGCCCACUCCGGUGGCCCAGCCGGCUCCUGCCAAGCAGCCCACUCCCGUGGCCCAGCCUGCUCCUGCCAAGCAGCCUGCUCUCGUGACCCAGCCUGCUCCCGACGAGUAACCCACUCCCGUGGCCUAGCCUGCUUUCGUCGAGCAGCCCACUCCGGUGGCCCAGCCUGCUCCUGCCAAGCAGCCUGCUCAUGACCCAGCUUGCUCCCAACGAGCAACCCACUCCCGUGGUCUAGCCUGCUUCUUUCGAGCAGCCCACUCUCACGGCCCAGCCUGCUCCCGUGGCUUUCCAAGCAGCCCAAGUCGGCCCAAGACUAUCUCAACCAUCCGGACCUACCAUCGAGCCGGGGGCAUUCUCACCAUAUUUUUUCACAGAUUUGACAUUUCCCAACUCAAAUCUCACGCCCGGAGUCUACCACCUUUCCACUGCCCAAGGAGGCGCAUUCUUUCCAAGCUCUUCCAAUCCAAAUGGCGAACAACACUUGUCUCGACAAGUCAUAGAGUUGACGAGCGCCCUUGCACACAACAGAAAACCUUGGUGAAUCAACUUUUGCAACGUAUCAGGAUCCAACGUGCCCCGGACGAGGUAUCCCGAAGUAGGGCAAGGGCAGACGAACAUUUCCAGCAGCGUCCCGGUAAGCAGCCACUCGACCAGCCACGAGCCGAACGUUUGGGCAGUGUACAUUCCCGUCUUAGAGCGCGAGGGAGCAUGCACUCUCGACUAGGCCCACGGAUGAGCAUACAUUCACGGUUGGGGUCAUACUCCGAUAGUCAACAUGAGCAACCUUCCGGGGAAAGUGUCUAUUCGCAGCUAAGCCCACAAGGAGCGUCCUCCACCUCACAUCAGAGUAGGCAGCACGACGAACGGAGAGAAGCAGUCACUCAAUCCAGCUCAAGUGCAACCAGCAGCCUGCGAAGAACUCGCUCGCCUACUAGGAACGCACCACAUGCACGGCAUCCGCGGCAUAGACGAGCCAAACACAUGGAAGAGUAGCCUAGACCAGCAAGUCAUGACUGGGGGCAGCCGAGAGCUCCGCUACCCCAACAAAGGCAAAUUCAGGAAGAAGUAGAGAGACUCUUGACCAAGCGAUUGCAUGAUUUCCAACGCAACGAGGUUACCGACGAGGCACUACGACGGAACAUAAUCAACAUAAGCAGGUCACCCUUCACGGAGGAGAUCGAUGAGGCAGAGCCUCCACGCGAGUUCAGCAUGCCACAUUUCACAUCUUUCAAAGGGGAUGAAGACCCGGAGAGACACUUAAAACGUUACCAAAGCGCAAUGAUCCUUUAUUGAAACAACGAUGAUCUCAUGUGCAAGAUAUUCGCCACCACUCUACAAGGCGAGGCGCAAGAUUGGUUCUACACCCUGCCACCACAAUCCAUCCGGAAUUUCUACGAACUUUCUUUGGUUUUCACCAAAGAAUAUUCAUCCUAUCGCUCGAUCAAAAAGAAGUCUGACCAUUUGUUCGACGUCAAGAAGAACCCAAAGGAGUCGCUUCGCGACUAUGUGAGGAGGUUCAAAUUAGAGAAGGUAAAAAUAGUCGGAUGCAACGACUCGAUAGCUAGAGCAGCCUUCCAAAAAGGACUUCCAGCAGACCACCCGCUAUUCGGAAAAUUGAUCAUGAAAGAAGAUCUAACUCUGGCAGACUCUUUUGCUUUAGCAGAGAAGCAUGCACUUUGGGAUGAGGCUCGCCAAUGCACAUUCAAGGACUUGAAGAAGUACCCGACAUCACCUCCCUAGAAGCAGCGGAGGACUUAUUCGCAUGUUUGACGGUAUCUAAAGUAGCAAUAAGCUCUACCAUCAUGCGAGAAGAGCUGGGAGCCCGACUACCUGUAUUCUACAGUUACCUGCAGUCAUCAUCAUGACGCACUAUUCCGCCGAAUCCAAACCGGCGACGAUAAAGGCGUAGACCCUGGCAGAUGCAAAGUUUUCUGACGAACGCAACAACUCGGCCCAACAAAUGCCACGGCUGCUCGCAAGCCUUUGUAGUUGGAUGCGUCGUUGACAUGCGAAUGCCAGAAAUCUCCAUUAAGGGAAUAUGUGCAGCUAAAGUGUGCUCGACUGCCUUCGGGGCAUCGUUGGGCCGAUUUGGCAUCCCUUAAUCCAUCGUCACCAACAACGGCCUGCAAUUCGUGGGCAAAGAUUGGCGAAGUUCUUCAAAAAAUAUGGCAUCAAGCAGCAUAUGUCCAUGCCGAGAUAUCCUCAAGGCAAUAGGCAGGCCGAAACAUCCAAAAAUAUGGAUCUCAUCUGGGAAGGUCCAUACAAGCUCAGCAGAGUAGGCGGCAAGAGUAAUUACAUCUUCGCCACCAUGAAACGACAAAAAGAUCGAAAAGCAGUGGAACGCCUACAAUAUGAGGAAGUACCAUGUGUGACCUCCUGCUACAUCAAAGCCUGAAGACUCAAAUAGCUCGACGGGCACCACCUCACAAACUGAGGACUAUCCAGUUGUUAUGCAGUUCCUACCUUACAGUUAAGUUCUCGUUCGUUUCACUCAUUUCUCAAUGAGAAAUUCAGAAGUAAUCACAACUUGGCUCGGCUGCAUGCUUACAACAACUGAUCAUUCCUGCACUUCAAAAGAAGAAUGCGCCCUUCUUAGGAACUCAUCGCAGGAAUUGCGCCCCCCGAGGGAGCAACCAUGCUCUCCAGUGCGAGAGGGUAAACCAAUUCCCCGACACCCAUAUGGGUUAGCUCUCCAAGACGGGAGGAUAAACUUUACACUCCGAAUAUCCAGACGUGGAUGAGUCUGGCUGCCCUAGUAUAACUAGAUGCACGAUGGCUUGCGCCGGGAUUCCUAGAAAUAGCCACAAUGGUCUUUUUCAAGGCUUAGCUAACUGAAGGAUUUUGGGCCUCUUGGCCUAAUCCGUAGGGAACCGGGCCCUAGAGACGGAGGGGGCACAUUAUGCAGUACGCCCUACAGACGACUGCCCUGGAACCCUAAAGCUGCUACCGAAUGCACUAAGGUAGCCUACGGAUUCCGGAAGACUGCCUACGGCUUGCCCUUCGAGCAGUAAAGCCGCGCUAGACUUAUACAACUGCACAUUCUUGUGAAAGGUUAAACAAGCUAGCGUGCAUAUACGAAGUUUUAUCCACUGCCGACAUGCUACGUAGUCGAUAAGCUUCACCUCUGCCAAGCGCGGAACAACCUACACCAAGUCCUAAAGUGUUGUGAUACUUGCUAUGCAACCUACGGAAUUGAAGAAAGUCAAGGUUAACAGCCUAGUGGUUACGCGGACUUGUCUGCUUCUGUAAGUAAGGCAUCCGGCUGCCAACCCUAUGGCUAACAACUUUGCAAAGUUCUACACCAACACCUACGGCUGCAUAGGCUACGCGAGCUUGUCUGCUUAUAAAAAAGUAGCAUGUCUGCCACUGGUCUAUCAAGUCUAAAGGUUAAAGCGUGAACAAAAGAAGCGAAGAUGAAGGAAAACAUGUUUAUAAACAACUAGCAAAGGCCGAAUGAGUUCAAGAAAAACAAGAGCUAUAAGGAAAAACAAAGAAAAUCCUAAAGGCUACGUAGAAUACUACACUACACCAGCUUGGACAUCCCACGACUACUCGGUCGCUACACCUUCAGCAGCCGUAACGCUCUUAGCAGCGGCAUCAUCCGGUGCUUCACCCCCGACUGCCCAGCCUGGGCACUAACUUCUCCAACUACUUCACCAAUGGAAGCCUUAAAAGUAAAAGCAAGCAAGUCUUCCGGAGAAAUAGAGAAGGUCUUAAAACCUCAAGCCCAUCAUUCUCACCCUUCAGCUGCUCAUUCUUCUUAAGCAGACUAACACGGACGCGCUGCAGCUCAUCCACUACCUUCUUAGCAUAAGCAGCGAAACGAAGCUCAGAAACUGCAAACUCAAGAUCUUGAAUCUGAGGUAUGUAACAUCCAAUCUCCUUCUAUGCACUUUCAUGCUUAACUUGGAUCGCGUCAAGCCUAGUCUUCAAGUCAACGAUCUUUUGGCGAACGGUCCCAAGCUGCAAAGGAGUGGGGGCAGACAUAUGAGACCCCCUUCAAAGCAACGAGCUCAGAAUUUGCCAUAGUAUUUGCCGUCUCCUUAGUAGCCUUGCUAUAUCUGCAUCAUAGCAAGUAGAGAAGUCAUUCUAUAAUUGGGUCAUAUGCUUCGCAAACGAGCUUAGGCAAACACCUUUCUAACGCCAUCAACAAACUUCGCACAAGCAUCCAUGUUUUCAAGAGAUCUGGUUUCAAAAGCACAUAGAUCUCAGCGGCCUCCCAUAAGCAGGCUUAAUGGAUUUCUCACAGCUGCCUACGUGAGCAGUCUCCUCAUUCCCAGCAGGCGAAUUAGUCUCAACAACAUAAGGAAUGGGCCUUGACGCCACUUUAGCAACAGAGUCAACCUUAUCGCUCUUCAUAAUAGCAAACCUCUCCAAAGGCGCCACAUGCUCAGAUCUAUCAGCCUCAUUUUUCGUCCCCUUGGAAAAAGUCAAGUCAAUCACAAGCCUGAAGGCAGUCGGCGAACCCGUGCGAGCGAAAGAAGCCUUUGGUUUUUUCUCAGCCGGCAUCUCUUGAGCAGGCAAGGAAUAUCCCUUUUCCUACCUUCACUUGUAGCAAGAUCCACAACAGUGAUUGGACGAGCCAAUGCAUCUGCCUUGAUUCUACUCACCUCCUCUUUCGGGAGCAGCCCACAUUUCUCUCAGCGAAGAGGACUAAACAGCCAACGACAUUUAUGGUACUCAGCAGGGGAGCUCAACCAGCAUUCCAGCAGGCAGAAGGCUUGCAUACCCAACAUUCCAGCAACCCAUGAGACCCACAAUCUCCUCAUUUCUCUCAAUCACCAGUCUGGCUCGAGUCAAGUCCAAGAGCCCAAAGGACAUGAGCCAUGCGGCUCGCCUAGCACUGCGCCCCAGCGCCACAAUCCGCGACCCCAGCCGCACAAGCUGCCCUUGGCUCAAGCCAAGCUAAGCCUGCCCAAGCAGUGGUCCCUGCCAUGACAUCUCCUCGGCCCAUGCCAAGCCAACUCCUGGCCCCUGCCAGCCGACGUACUGCACCACCCCGACGGCUGCCCCGCAAUAGCACUAAUCCAAGAAAAAGGCAAGAAAAAUUAAAUUUUUCUUACAUCGGUGCGGCACGGAGAAGAUGAAGAAAUCAACGAAAAACGGUCCUUUGCACGGGCAAGAUGUAGAAGAUUGCUAGAGGAGGGGGAACAAAUAUCCUCUAACUUUCUCUCUCUUGUGGGGUAGAAUAAAUUGCUCUUCAAAGUUGAUUUAAUAACCCACUUAAGGUGGACUUAAAUAGGCUUUGAGUGAAGUUUAUUUCCCUUUCCUAGAAGGGCCUAAUUUCCAAUUAAAGAGAGAAUCAAUAUCAAAAUAAGAAGCAAUCCUACGUUUCCUAAAGCAAGAAGAUCUCUACACCUGCUGCCCUUUCCUACGAGCAGCCCAACAGGUGUGGGGGCAUUUGUGGAGCCAAAAAUAUUCACUAGGCGACACGUGGAUUUUUGGACAAAAUAGGAUAAAAAUACCCUCGAGGCAUACCGGGUCUCCUACACGCGAGCAGUGGAGAAUCAUCCAUCAACCAAGUCAGGAGUACCCAAAAUGGGUAACAAUUCAAAACCUAUUUCAUAUAUGUUUUUUACCUCAUUUUUUCCUUAUUCAAUUAGCCAUUUAUUUCAAACAUUCCAUAACAUCCUCAACCAAUUAAAUAUAAUCAAUAUAUUAAAGGCUAUUUAUAUCACCAAAAUCACCCCAAAAUCACACCAAGGUCCGGCCAUUCCCAUCCAAAAAGAGCCUAUCAUAUUCUCUACCUUUUCCACCAUUUUCCCUUUUUAAUUACCCUAAUUAACUAGCCAAUUAAUUCCAAAAACCACCAAAACAUUCAUUUUAUGUUUAAAUAGCCAAAUAAAUUGGCUACUUAAACCUAAAUUAAACCUAAAAACCCUAGCCACCUCCUAACUCUAUAAAUAGGCACCUAUUCUCAUCAAAGAAUCAAUUCCAACACUUUGGCAAAAAUCCCAAAAUUCUCUAAACACUCUUUCUCUCUAAAUUCUAACUUUGGCAUCGGAGGUUCUUCGGCCAAAGCCCCCCCCAUUCAUCGUGGGCGCGUGAGGCUCUUGGCCUUAACCUAAGGUGUUAAUUGUUUUGUAGGUGCAAAAUCGUCCAAGAUCGAGG
rnacentral:lncRNA from 1 species